rnacentral:rRNA from 1 species
CCUACGGGAGGCUGCAGUGAGGAAUAUUGGUCAAUGGGCGGAAGCCUGAACCAGCCAAGUAGCGUGCAGGAUGACGGCCCUACGGGUUGUAAACUUCUUUUAUACGGGAAUAACGCGCCUUACGUGUAGGGCUUUGCAUGUACCGUAUGAAUAAGGACCGGCUAAUUCCGUGCCAGCAGCCGCGGUAAUACGGAAGGUCCGGGCGUUAUCCGGAUUUAUUGGGUUUAAAGGGAGCGUAGGCCGGGUGUCAAGCGUGCUGUGAAAUGUCCGGGCUCAACCCGGGCCUUGCAGCGCGAACUGGCGUGCUUGAGUCCGCGGAAAGCAGGCGGAAUUCGUGGUGUAGCGGUGAAAUGCUUAGAUAUGACGAAGAACCCCGAUUGCGAAGGCAGCUUGCUGCAGCGGAACUGACGCUGAUGCUCGAAAGCGCGGGGAUCGAACAGGAUUAGAUACCCGUGUAGUC